GCCCUAGUAACGGCGAGUGAAGCGGCAACAGCUCAAAUUUGAAAUCUGGCGUCUUUGGCGUCCGAGUUGUAAUUUGCAGAGGGCGCUUUGGCAUUGGCAGCGGUCCAAGUUCCUUGGAACAGGACGUCACAGAGGGUGAGAAUCCCGUACGUGGUCGCUAGCCUUUACCGUGUAAAGCCCCUUCGACGAGUCGAGUUGUUUGGGAAUGCAGCUCUAAAUGGGAGGUAAAUUUCUUCUAAAGCUAAAUACUGGCCAGAGACCGAUAGCGCACAAGUAGAGUGAUCGAAAGAUGAAAAGCACUUUGGAAAGAGAGUUAAAAAGCACGUGAAAUUGUUGAAAGGGAAGCGCUUGCAGCCAGACUUGCCUGUAGUUGCUCAUCCGGGUUUUUACCCGGUGCACUCUUCUAUAGGCAGGCCAGCAUCAGUUUGGGCGGUUGGAUAAAGGUCUCUGUCAUGUACCUCUCUUCGGGGAGAACUUAUAGGGGAGACGACAUGCAACCAGCCUGGACUGAGGUCCGCGCAUCUGCUAGGAUGCUGGCGUAAUGGCUGUAAGCGGCCCGUCUUGAAACA
rnacentral:rRNA from 1 species